rnacentral:rRNA from 1 species
UACGUAGGAUGCGAGCGUUGUCCGGAUUUAUUGGGUUUAAAGGGUGCGUAGGCGGUUAUAUAAGUCGUGGGUGAAAGUCUUAUGCUCAACAUAAGGAUUGCCUGCGAUACUGUAUAACUUGAAUUUCGUGGAGGUAAUUGGAAUUGAUGGUGUAGCGGUGAAAUGCUCAGAUACCAUUAGGAACGCUUAUUGCGAAGGCAGAUUACUGUACGAAGAUUGACGCUGAGGCACGAAAGUCUGGGGAUCAAACAGG